GUGAAUCAUCAAAUUUUUGAACGCAAAUUGCACUCUCUUCGGAGAGGAGGCCUGUUUGAGUUUCAGGCUAUAAAAAAUCGACAUCGUGGCUGUUUCGCGGUGGCGGUCGUCGGAAAUUGGUUCAUCAUAUUUCUUUUGGUUUUAAGCGACUUAAAAUUUGCCUUUUGGUUCCAUUAACGUUUCUAAGAUUUAUUUCUUUACACGUUUAAGUUAUCGAUUCUUAUUAGACUUGACCAUCAUAU
rnacentral:misc_RNA from 1 species